rnacentral:rRNA from 1 species
AACGAACGCUGGCGGCAUGCCUAACACAUGCAAGUCGAACGAAGCCUUCGGGCUUAGUGGCGCACGGGUGCGUAACGCGUGGGAUUCUGCCCUUGGGUUCGGAAUAACAGUUAGAAAUGACUGCUAAUACCGAAUGAUGUCUUCGGACCAAAGAUUUAUCGCCCAAGGAUGAGCCCGCGUCGGAUUAGCUAGUUGGUGAGGUAAAGGCUCACCAAGGCGACGAUCCGUAGCUGGUCUGAGAGGAUGAUCAGCCACACUGGGACUGAGACACGGCCCAGACUCCUACGGGAGGCAGCAGUGGGGAAUAUUGGACAAUGGGCGAAAGCCUGAUCCAGCAAUGCCGCGUGAGUGAUGAAGGCCUUAGGGUUGUAAAGCUCUUUUACCCCGGGAUGAUAAUGACAGUACCGGGAGAAUAAGCCCCGGCUAACUCCGUGCCAGCAGCCGCGGUAAU